GGGAUUGUAGCUCAGAGGGAGAGCGCUUGUCUUGCAUGCAUGAGGCACUGGGUUUGAUCCUCAGCCCCA
rnacentral:tRNA from 1 species